rnacentral:rRNA from 1 species
UAGGGAGGGCGAGCGUUGUUCGGAAUUACUGGGCGUAAAGGGCGCGUAGGCGGCCGAUCAAGUCAGAUGUGAAAGUCCUGGGCUUAACCUGGGGGACUGCAUUUGAUACUGAAGAUCUUUGAGUUCGGGAGAGGUGAGUGGAACUGCGAGUGUAGAGGUGAAAAUUCGUAGAUAUUCGCAAGAACACCAGUGGCGAAGGCGGCUCACUGGCUCGUAACUGACGCUCAUGCACGACAGCGUGGGG